rnacentral:rRNA from 1 species
AUUGAACGCUGGCGGCAGGCCUAACACAUGCAAGUCGAGCGGAUGAAGGGAGCUUGCUCCUGGAUUCAGCGGCGGACGGGUGAGUAAUGCCUAGGAAUCUGCCUGGUAGUGGGGGAUAACGUCCGGAAACGGGCGCUAAUACCGCAUACGUCCUGAGGGAGAAAGUGUGGGAUCUUCGGACCUCACGCUAUCAGAUGAGCCUAGGUCGGAUUAGCUAGUUUGUGGGGUAAAGGCCUAUCAAGGCGACGAUCCGUAACUGGUCUGAGAGGAUGAUCAGUCACACUGGAACUGAGACACGGUCCAGACUCCUACGGGAGGCAGCAGUGGGGAAUAUUGGACAAUGGGCGAAAGCCUGAUCCAGCCAUGCCGCGUGUGUGAAGAAGGUCUUCGGAUUGUAAAGCACUUUAAGUUGGGAGGAAGGGCAGUAAGUUAAUACCUUGCUGUUUUGACGUUACCAACAGAAUAAGCACCGGCUAACUUCGUG